rnacentral:rRNA from 1 species
GAGAAGCUUGCUUCUCUGAUGUUAGCGGCGGACGGGUGAGUAACACGUGGAUAACCUACCUAUAAGACUGGGAUAACUUCGGGAAACCGGAGCUAAUACCGGAUAAUAUUUUGAACCGCAUGGUUCAAAAGUGAAAGACGGUCUUGCUGUCACUUAUAGAUGGAUCCGCGCUGCAUUAGCUAGUUGGUAAGGUAACGGCUUACCAAGGCAACGAUGCAUAGCCGACCUGAGAGGGUGAUCGGCCACACUGGAACUGAGACACGGUCCAGACUCCUACGGGAGGCAGCAGUAGGGAAUCUUCCGCAAUGGGCGAAAGCCUGACGGAGCAACGCCGCGUGAGUGAUGAAGGUCUUCGGAUCGUAAAACUCUGUUAUUAGGGAAGAACAUAUGUGUAAGUAACUGUGCACAUCUUGACGGUACCUAAUCAGAAAGCCACGGCUAACUACGUGCCAGCAGCCGCGGUAAUACGUAGGUGGCAAGCGUUAUCCGGAAUUAUUGGGCGUAAAGCGCGCGUAGGCGGUUUUUUAAGUCUGAUGUGAAAGCCCACGGCUCAACCGUGGAGGGUCAUUGGAAACUGGAAAACUUGAGUGCAGAAGAGGAAAGUGGAAUUCCAUGUGUAGCGGUGAAAUGCGCAGAGAUAUGGAGGAACACCAGUGGCGAAGGCGACUUUCUGGUCUGUAACUGACGCUGAUGUGCGAAAGCGUGGGGAUCAAACAGGAUUAGAUACCCUGGUAGUCCACGCCGUAAACGAUGAGUGCUAAGUGUUAGGGGGUUUCCGCCCCUUAGUGCUGCAGCUAACGCAUUAAGCACUCCGCCUGGGGAGUACGACCGCAAGGUUGAAACUCAAAGGAAUUGACGGGGACCCGCACAAGCGGUGGAGCAUGUGGUUUAAUUCGAAGCAACGCGAAGAACCUUACCAAAUCUUGACAUCCUUUGACAACUCUAGAGAUAGAGCCUUCCCCUUCGGGGGACAAAGUGACAGGUGGUGCAUGGUUGUCGUCAGCUCGUGUCGUGAGAUGUUGGGUUAAGUCCCGCAACGAGCGCAACCCUUAAGCUUAGUUGCCAUCAUUAAGUUGGGCACUCUAAGUUGACUGCCGGUGACAAACCGGAGGAAGGUGGGGAUGACGUCAAAUCAUCAUGCCCCUUAUGAUUUGGGCUACACACGUGCUACAAUGGACAAUACAAAGGGCAGCGAAACCGCGAGGUCAAGCAAAUCCCAUAAAGUUGUUCUCAGUUCGGAUUGUAGUCUGCAACUCGACUACAUGAAGCUGGAAUCGCUAGUAAUCGUAGAUCAGCAUGCUACGGUGAAUACGUUCCCGGGUCUUGUACACACCGCCCGUCACACCACGAGAGUUUGUAACACCCGAAGCCGGUGGAGUAAC